rnacentral:rRNA from 1 species
AACAAACGCUGGCGGCGUGCCUAAUACAUGCAAGUCAAACGGGGAAAGCUUUCGGGUGAGUACUAGUGGCGCACGGGUGAGGAACGCGUGGAUAAUCUGCCUUAGAGUGGGGGAUAACUAGUCGAAAGAUUAGCUAAUACCGCAUAAGACCACAGGAGCUGCGGCUCAAGGGGUCAAAGGUUUUUCGCUCUAAGAUGAGUCCGCGUAAGAUUAGCUAGUUGGUGAGGUAACGGCUCACCAAGGCGACGAUCUUUAACUGGUCUGAGAGGAUGAUCAGUCACACUGGAACUGAGACACGGUCCAGACUCCUACGGGAGGCAGCAGUAGGGAAUAUUGCACAAUGGAGGAAACUCUGAUGCAGCGACGCCGCGUGAGUGAUGAAGGCCUUCGGGUCGUAAAGCUCUGUCGCAGGGGAAUAACACAAUGAAUGUACCCUGUAAGAAAGGACCGGCUAACUUCGUGCCAGCCGCCGCGGUAACAC